rnacentral:rRNA from 1 species
AGAGUUUGAUCAUGGCUCAGGACGAACGCUGGCGGCGUGCCUAAUACAUGCAAGUCGAGCGGAUCUUCUCCUUCGGGAGAAGGUUAGCGGCGGACGGGUGAGUAACACGUAGGCAACCUGCCUGCAGGAUCGGGAUAACUACCGGAAACGGUAGCUAAGACCGAAUAGCUGGUUCCGGUGCAUGCCGGAAUCAUGAAACACGGAGCAAUCUGUGACCUGCAGAUGGGCCUGCGGUGCAUUAGCUAGUUGGUGGGGUAACGGCUCACCAAGGCGACGAUGCAUAGCCGACCUGAGAGGGUGAUCGGCCACACUGGGACUGAGACACGGCCCAGACUCCUACGGGAGGCAGCAGUAGGGAAUCUUCCGCAAUGGACGCAAGUCUGACGGAGCAACGCCGCGUGAGUGAUGAAGGUUCUCGGAUCGUAAAGCUCUGUUGCCAGGGAAGAACGUCGUGGGGAGUAACUGCCCCGCGAAUGACGGUACCUGAGAAGAAAGCCCCGGCUAACUACGUGCCAGCAGCCGCGGUAAUACGUAGGGGGCAAGCGUUGUCCGGAAUUAUUGGGCGUAAAGCGCGCGCAGGCGGUUCAUUAAGUUUGGUGUUUAAGCCCGGGGCUCAACCCCGGUUCGCACUGAAAACUGGUGAACUUGAGUGCAGGAGAGGAAAGCGGAAUUCCACGUGUAGCGGUGAAAUGCGUAGAGAUGUGGAGGAACACCAGUGGCGAAGGCGGCUUUCUGGACUGUAACUGACGCUGAGGCGCGAAAGCGUGGGGAGCAAACAGGAUUAGAUACCCCCGUAGUCC